rnacentral:rRNA from 1 species
UACAGAGGGGGCAAGCGUUGUUCGGAUUUACUGGGCGUAAAGGGCGCGUAGGCGGCCACUGCAAGUCGGUUGUGAAAUCUCCGGGCUUAACCCGGAAAGGUCAAUCGAUACUGCAGGGCUAGAGUGCAGAAGGGGCAACUGGAAUUCUCGGUGUAGCGGUGAAAUGCGUAGAUAUCAGGAAGAACACCCGUGGCGAAGGCGGCUCUCUGGGACGGUACUGACGCUGAGACGCGAAAGCGUGGGGAGCGAACAGG